GAUGAACGCUGGCGGCGUGCUUAACACAUGCAAGUCGAACGAAGCACUUAAGUUUGAUUCUUCGGAUGAAGACUUUUGUGACUGAGUGGCGGACGGGUGAGUAACGCGUGGGUAACCUGCCUCAUACAGGGGGAUAACAGUUAGAAAUGACUGCUAAUACCGCAUAAGACCACAGCACCGCAUGGUGCAGGGGUAAAAACUCCGGUGGUAUGAGAUGGACCCGCGUCUGAUUAGCUGGUUGGUGGGGUAACGGCCUACCAAGGCGACGAUCAGUAGCCGACCUGAGAGGGUGACCGGCCACAUUGGGACUGAGACACGGCCCAAACUCCUACGGGAGGCAGCAGUGGGGAAUAUUGCACAAUGGGGGAAACCCUGAUGCAGCGACGCCGCGUGAAGGAAGACGGUCCUCUGGAUUGUAAACCUCUGUCUUCGGGGACGAAAGAAGACGGUACCCGAGGAGGAAGCCACGGCUAACUCCGUGCCAGCAGCCGCGGUAAUACGGAGGAUACGAGCGUUAUCCGGAUUUAUUGGGUUUAAAGGGUGCGCAGGCGGAUCGGUAAGUCAGGGGUGAAAAGUUCGUGCUUAACAUGAAUCGUGCCUUUGAUACUGCCGGACUAGAGUGCAAUAGACGUGGGCGGAAUGUGAUGUGUAGCGGUGAAAUGCUUAGAUAUGUCACAGAACACCGAUCGAGAAGUCAGCUCACGAGUUUGCAACUGACGCUCAUGCACGAAAGCGUGGGGAUCAAACAGGAUUAGAUACCCUGGUAGUCCACGCUGUAAACGAUGAUCACUCGUUGUUGGCCGGCGACGGUCAGUGGCCAAGCGAAAGCGAUAAGUGAUCCACCUGGGGAGUACGAUCGCAAGGUUGAAACUCAAAGGAAUUGACGGGGGCCCGCACAAGCGGAGGAGCAUGUGGUUUAAUUCGAUGAUACGCGAGGAACCUUACCCGGGCUUGAACGUAAGACGACGACGCAGGAGACUGCGUUUCCUUCGGGCGUUUUGCGAGGUGCUGCAUGGUUGUCGUCAGCUCGUGCCGUGAGGUGUUAGGUUAAGUCCUGCAACGAGCGCAACCCUUACUUUUAGUUGCCAGCAUGUAAAGAUGGGGACUCUAAAAGAACUGCCUACGCAAGUAGAGAGGAAGGUGGGGAUGACGUCAAAUCAGCACGGCCCUUAUGUCCGGGGCUACACACGUGCUACAAUGGCGCACACAGAGGGCAGCGACCCUGCGAGGGGGAGCCAAUCCAUUAAAGUGCGUCUCAGUUCGGAUCGGAGUCUGGAACCCGACUCCGUGAAGUUAGAUUCGCUAGUAAUCGCGCAUCAGCCAUGACGCGGUGAA
rnacentral:rRNA from 1 species